UCCCCCUUCUGUGAGGAUGCAGAGCAGCUGAUUCCCAUGGAGAAGUAGAAUCAGAAGCUGAGCUUCCAUCUCUGUGGUCUGCGAUCGGUUGAAAGGCGUGGGCCCAGAUGGCAUAUUGCAGCUACAGGAAGGAUGUUCCACAGCUCCCACCACAGCCCUCAUUUCAAGUGCUCCAUUGUGACACCGCACUCCAUUGCGUAGGGGCUCUUCUGUGCCAUCCCCAGAGAAGGCCUCGCUGAUGUUUCUCCUGGAGACCAAGCGCCUGACAGAUGGGGCUUUCGGCCACUGACAGAGGACAGGGUGGCGAGACGUGGGCCUCUAUGAUUCCUGUAA